GGAGCCAUAAGGAGUGAUCCCCAUCCAGCCUUAGGAAAAGAAACCUGUCACGGGAGUCUGGGACUUUGGCGACCAUCCUAAUGACUUA
rnacentral:pre_miRNA from 1 species